ACGGGAGGCAGCAGUGAGGAAUAUUGGUCAAUGGACGAGAGUCUGAACCAGCCAAGUAGCGUGCAGGAUGACGGCCCUCCGGGUUGUAAACUGCUUUUAGUUGGGAAUAAAAAAGGCCACGUGUGGCCUAUUGUAUAUACCAUCAGAAAAAGGACCGGCUAAUUCCGUGCCAGCAGCCGCGGUAAUACGGAAGGUCCAGGCGUUAUCCGGAUUUAUUGGGUUUAAAGGGAGCGUAGGUGGACUUUUAAGUCAGUGGUAAAAGCGUGUGGCUCAACCAUACCACGCCAUUGAAACUGGAAGUCUUGAGUGCACACAGGGAUGCUGGAAUUCGUCGUGUAGCGGUGAAAUGCUUAGAUAUGACGAAGAACUCCGAUCGCGAAGGCAGGUGUCCGGGGUGUAACUGACGCUGAGGCUCGAAAGUGCGGGUAUCAAACAGGAUUAGAUACCCUGGUA
rnacentral:rRNA from 1 species